CUUAUUGAGGCGAUCCUCCCAUCC
rnacentral:siRNA from 1 species